GUUUCAGGGCGGGGUGCAAUUCCCCACCGGCGGUGAGCGGCGCAAAGCCGCAAGCCCGCGACCGGCCGUUUUUGCGGCCGCUGACCCGGUGCGAUUCCGGGGCCGACGGUAUAGUCCGGAUGGAAGAAA
rnacentral:ncRNA from 1 species